rnacentral:rRNA from 1 species
AUUGAACGCUGGCGGCAUGCCUUACACAUGCAAGUCGAACGGUAACGGGCCUUCGGGUGCCGACGAGUGGCGAACGGGUGAGUAAUGUCUCGGAACGUACCUUUCAGUGGGGGAUAACGUAGCGACAGUUACGCUAAUACCGCAUAUUCUGUGCGCAAGAAAGCAGGGGAACGCAAGACCUUGCGCUGAUUGAGCGGCCGAUAUCAGAUUAGCUAGUUGGUGAGGUAAAGGCUCACCAAGGCGACGAUCUGUAGCGGGUCUGAGAGGAUGAUCCGCCACACUGGAACUGAGACACGGUCCAGACUCCUACGGGAGGCAGCAGUGGGGAAUUUUGGACAAUGGGGGCAACCCUGAUCCAGCCAUGCCGCGUGAGUGAAGAAGGCCUUCGGGUUGUAAAGCUCUUUCGGCCGGGAAGAAAUCGUAUCAGCUAAUACCUGGUGCGGAUGACGGUACCGGCAUAAGAAGCACCGGCUAACUACGUGCCAGCCGCCGCGGUAAGAC